UAGGGAAUCUUCCACAAUGGGCGCAAGCCUGAUGGAGCAACACCGCGUGAGUGAGGAAGGGUUUCGGCUCGUAAAGCUCUGUUGUUAAAGAAGAACACGUAUGAGAGUAACUGUUCAUACGUUGACGGUAUUUAACCAGAAAGUCACGGCUAACUACGUGCCAGCAGCCGCGGUAAUACGUAGGUGGCAAGCGUUAUCCGGAUUUAUUGGGCGUAAAGAGAGUGCAGGCGGUUUUCUAAGUCUGAUGUGAAAGCCUUCGGCUUAACCGGAGAAGUGCAUCGGAAACUGGAUAACUUGAGUGCAGAAGAGGGUAGUGGAACUCCAUGUGUAGCGGUGGAAUGCGUAGAUAUAUGGAAGAACACCAGUGGCGAAGGCGGCUACCUGGUCUGCAACUGACGCUGAGACUCGAAAGCAUGGGUAGCGAACAGGAUUAGAUACCCUGGUAGUCCAUGCCGUAAACGAUGAGUGCUAGGUGUUGGAGGGUUUCCGCCCUUCAGUGCCGGAGCUAACGCAUUAAGCACUCCGCCUGGGGAGUACGACCGCAAGGUUG
rnacentral:rRNA from 1 species